GGGGGGGGGGGGGGGCGGGCCUGGGGCAGGCAGGGCGAGCGAACGGACGAGGAGCUUGCUCCUCUGACGGUAGCGGCGGACGGGUGAGUAACACGUGGAUAACCUACCUAUAAGACUGGGAUAACUUCGGGAAACCGGAGCUAAUACCGGGUAAUAUAUUGAACCGCAUGGUUCAAUAGUGAAAGACGGUUUUGCUGUCACUUAUAGAUGGAUCCGCGCCGCAUUAGCUAGUUGGUAAGGUAACGGCUUACCAAGGCAACGAUGCGUAGCCGACCUGAGAGGGUGAUCGGCCACACUGGAACUGAGACACGGUCCAGACUCCUACGGGAGGCAGCAGUAGGGAAUCUUCCGCAAUGGGCGAAAGCCUGACGGAGCAACGCCGCGUGAGUGAUGAAGGUCUUCGGAUCGUAAAACUCUGUUAUUAGGGAAGAACAAAUGUGUAAGUAACUAUGCACGUCUUGACGGUACCUAAUCAGAAAGCCACGGCUAACUACGUG
rnacentral:rRNA from 1 species